CCUGAUCCAGCAAUGCCGCGUGUGUGAAGAAGGCCUUCGGGUUGUAAAGCACUUUUGUCCGGAAAGAAAUCCUUGGCUCUAAUACAGUCGGGGGAUGACGGUACCGGAAGAAUAAGCACCGGCUAACUACGUGCCAGCAGCCGCGGUAAUACGUAGGGUGCGAGCGUUAAUCGGAAUUACUGGGCGUAAAGCGUGCGCAGGCGGUUUGCUAAGACCGAUGUGAAAUCCCCGGGCUCAACCUGGGAACUGCAUUGGUGACUGGCAGGCUAGAGUAUGGCAGAGGGGGGUAGAAUUCCACGUGUAGCAGUGAAAUGCGUAGAGAUGUGGAGGAAUACCGAUGGCGAAGGCAGCCCCCUGGGCCAAUACUGACGCUCAUGCACGAAAGCGUGGGGAGCAAACAGGAUUAGAUACCCUGGUAGUCCACGCCCUAAACGAUGUCAACUAGUUGUUGGGGAUUCAUUUCCUUAGUAACGUAGCUAACGCGUGAAGUUGACCGCCUGGGGAGUACGGUCGCAAGAUUAAAACUCAAAGGAAUUGACGGGGACCCGCACAAGCGGUGGAUGAUGUGGAUUAAUUCGAUGCAACGCGAAAAACCUUACCUACCCUUGACAUGGUCGGAAUCCUGCUGAGA
rnacentral:rRNA from 6 species